AUUGAACGCUGGCGGCAUGAUUUACACAUGCAAGUCGAACGGUAACAGGCCGCAAGGUGCUGACGAGUGGCGAACGGGGGAGUAAUGCAUCAGAACGUGCCCAGUCGUGGGGGGUAACUACUCGAAAGAGUAGCUAAUACCGCAUACGAUCUAUGGAUGAACGCGGGGGACCGUAAGGCCUCGCGCGAUUGGAGCGGCCGCUGUCAGAUUAGUUAGUUGGUGGGGUAAAGGCUCACCAAGCCAACGAUCUGUAGCUGGUCUGAGAGGACGACCAGCCACACUGGGACUGAGACACGGCCCAGACUCCUACGGGAGGCAGCAGUGGGGAAUUUUGGACAAUGGGCGCAAGCCUGAUCCAGCAAUGCCGCGUGCAGGAAGAAGGCCUUCGGGUUGGAAACUGCUUUUGUACGGAACGAAACGGCUCUGGUUAAUACCCGGGGCUAAUGACGGUACCGUAAGAAUAAGCACCGGCUAACUACGUG
rnacentral:rRNA from 1 species